rnacentral:rRNA from 1 species
UACGUAGGGUGCAAGCGUUGUCCGGAAUUAUUGGGCGUAAAGAGCUCGUAGGCGGUUCGUCGCGUCGGCUGUGAAAACCUGAGGCUCAACCUCAGGCCUGCAGUCGAUACGGGCGGACUUGAGUACUGCAGGGGAGACUGGAAUUCCUGGUGUAGCGGUGGAAUGCGCAGAUAUCAGGAGGAACACCAAUGGCGAAGGCAGAUCUCUGGGCCGUAACUGACGCUGAGGAGCGAAAGCAUGGGGGAGCGAACAGG